rnacentral:rRNA from 1 species
AGUCAAUAGAUACCCAGGUAGUCCACGCCGUAAACGAUGAAUACUAGGUGUAGGGGUUGUCAUGACCUCUGUGCCGCCGCAAACGCAUUAAGUAUUCCGCCUGGGGAGUACGGUCGCAAGAUUAAAACUCAAAGGAAUUGACGGGGGCCCGCACAAGCAGCGGAGCAUGUGGUUUAAUUCGAAGCAACGCGAAGAACCUUACCUAGACUUGACAUCUCCUGAAUUACUCUGUAAUGGAGGAAGCCCUUCGGGGCAGGAAGACAGGUGGUGCAUGGUUGUCGUCAGCUCGUGUCGUGAGAUGUUGGGUUAAGUCCCGCAACGAGCGCAACCCUUAUUGUUAGUUGCUACCAUUAAGUUGAGCACUCUAGCGAGACUGCCCGGGUUAACCGGGAGGAAGGUGGGGAUGACGUCAAAUCAUCAUGCCCCUUAUGUCUAGGGCUACACACGUGCUACAAUGGCUGGUACAGAGAGAUGCUAAACCGUGAGGUGGAGCCAAACUUUAAACCAGUCUCAGUUCGGAUUGUAGGCUGAAACUCGCC